rnacentral:rRNA from 1 species
GACAGAGGAUGCAAGCGUUAUCCGGAAUGAUUGGGCGUAAAGCGUCUGUAGGUGGCUUUUUAAGUCUGCCGUCAAAUCCCAGGGCUUAACCCUGGACAGGCGGUGGAAACUACCAAGCUGGAGUACGGUAGGGGCAGGGGGAAUUUCCGGUGGAGCGGUGAAAUGCGUAGAGAUUGGAAAGAACACCGAUGGCGAAGGCACUUUACUGGGCUAUUACUAACACUGAGAGACGAAAGCUAGGGUAGCAAAUGGG